rnacentral:lncRNA from 1 species
GUGUGUGUGUGUCUGUGUGUGUGUAUGCAUAUGGGGAACUGAAGAUGCCCAGCCAGAGUUGUGAGCUUCCAGUCUUUCAGCAAAGGAAGAAGAGCUUUAGAAAAAUCAGAGUAAUAUGAUCAGAUCGCCCCACCAGUGGCUCAACAAUCUGUCCUCGUGUACACUUUGAAGAAAGCACAGGUGGUGAAGUGUCUCAUUUCAAGUUGUUGUGGUUUUCUGCCAUGGAGGAAAGUGUUGAAAAAAAAGGGAACUAUACAGCAUAAAGAUGGGUUUUCACAGAUCCUGUCAAGGGAUCUGAAUGAUGCAGUGUCGCAAUCCCAUUUUAUAAAUGAGGCAACCAAAACUCGAACAGGACCAUAUUGCGACUGAAACAAGGCAUAACAGGUCUUUGACUGGCUAUCCUGUGGAUGUGGACUCAGGCUAGCCUGCGCAAAGUGAAAGACAGGCAAUUAGAUUGAAAAAUACCUGUGAUUCAAAGAAGUCACAAGUCACAGAGACAAACUUUUCCCAGUGUGUUCGAGUCAGAGAACCUUUGCAAAGACCAACAGGCUAAAAGAGAAAAUACAAUGUCAUGACACAGCUAGAAUAUGUUUCCAAGCCUCCCCAACACGUGUGACUGUGUAUAAUUGAGUUCUAACCACAGGAAGCUUGAUGCAGAUGAGCAGGUAACCAUGGAAGUCGUGAGCUGAGGCUGCAGAGUCUAGAGCCAGAGUGUGGAAUAAACUUGGGUCUCAAAUCACCCCUGGAGCAAAGCACCCAUCUAAUCAGGAACUUCUACUUUCAACUUUACAUGCGUGAGAAAUGAACUUCUAUCAUGUUAGAGAAAUCCUUACACGGCGCCCUUGAGAGCUUUCAUACUGCAAGUCAUCCAUUUUCCUCCCCUCAAACCUGGCAUCGGAGUUUAUUGAAACAAAGCAAAAUAAAACAAAUAGACAAAGCUCUACCUCCAUCACUUCUGCAGUCUACAUUAACCCCACGUCCAGAAUAUUCACACCUCAGGUCUUUUUCUCACAAUUGAAACACUGGUUCAGAGCCUAACGGAAGGUCUUGGAGGUAAAAACACAACUUGGGGCAACUUUUCCAUUCUGUUCUGCAUGACCCCAAUGGGACUUCUCAGAAACCCCUCUCAUGAAUUAAACUUUGUUCUGUCUAGAGCAUUAGAAUAAGCUUAUGGGCACCUGCCAGGAGAUUAUAAAGUGGGCCAUUUAAAAGAUGACAGAUAUUGAGCACCCUUGACCCUGUAGAAAGAGUGUACCUACUUGCUUUCCCUAGGGCCCUUAAUGGUUUAUAAAAACA